UGCUGAAUUCAUGCAGUUUCCAAAGCUCAGAAGGCUGUUCAUAAAACACAACACUGCCCUGCCCUCAAGCGCUCCAGUAGAGAGGCUCUUUAGCAUCGGUGGUCUAAUAUUCAGACCGAGGAGAAACCGCCUGGGAGAUGCCAACUUUGAGAAGCAGCUGAUCUUGAAUGCCAACAAAAAGAUUUGAAGGAAGAAAAAACAGCAGAUCUACCAGGGAGAGAACACUGUGACCGAGGAUCUUCAUUCAGAUAAGGGAUUUUUGGGCUGGACAGAAAAUAACACUGUCCUUGGCCCUGCAUACUUUUCAUUUAUUAGUAUUAUUUUAGUUAUUUAUGUGGACUGUAACCAGUGACAGAUAUUCAUUCAGUUAAGGUAUUUUCACUCACUGAGCAGAAAGUAGAAGCACAGUCCAUGGCCUUGGAACCAGACUCUGAGUCUUUUAAGUUAUUUUUUUUUUAUUAUUUUACUUAUUCAGUGGCCAAAAAAUUGAAAAGUGACUUGAUAAUGUUUAAAUGUUUUGCACUUUGAAUAUUGCACUUUCAAGUUCAACCUUUAAUUCCUACCUCAGCCUGGUCCCUCAGUUUUUGUUAGUUAAAUGUUCUUGAGGGUUUUACUAUUUUUGUAACUUGUUUGUUAAACCUGCCUGGUAUAAUUUUCCAGGAUUCCAGUAUUCCUUUUUAAAGAUAUUAAAAAAACAUUUGCACCUUUAAAGACUAC